GGGGGGGGGGGCUAGGAUGAAAAAUUUUGUCCUGCAUUUUUUUUUAGCUGUAAUCUCUGUCCUGCCUUUUUAUUUUUCACUCUAUUCGGUCCUGCCUUUUUUUUUUUUUAGUUUAUCCCGACUUUUUUUUACCUAAAUUGUCGUCCUGACUUUUUUUUUUUGGCAAUUCUCUCAUCCUGCCUUUUUCUUUUACUCAAAACUCCUGUCCUGCCUAUUUUUUUCAAAUUUCAUCCUAGCCCCCCCAUAAAAAUCAAAUGGUAGCUCCCUUACA
rnacentral:lncRNA from 1 species